UUCUCUACAAUAGCGGCGUAUGAGUCGUCAGCAAAACUUAAUCAAUACGAAAUCAUAAUUCUUCUCUUCGUCGUAACCAAUGGUUAUUGUUUCCAUAACUUCGCGAGGAUAAUUAUCUAGCACUCGAUAUAAGUUUAUGGAACACUUGAUCGAUACUGGCAUCAGACAUCGUCUCAAACUCCUCGUCACUUUGGGAAGUCAGCAAGAAUCUUGGGUUUGCGACGAUGGGUGAUGACAACGUUUUUUGAGCAGCUCCUUUGUAAGUUAACCUUGAAAUGGUGACAAUCGAGAUAUUUUUUGAAAGAACACUUAUGAUCG
rnacentral:lncRNA from 1 species